rfam:Musa acuminata subsp. malaccensis Doubled-haploid Pahang (DH-Pahang) genomic chromosome, chr11
UCCGAUGAUGGCAUGGAAUCUUUGAGACCUGAGCUUUAUCGUCUUGAUGAAAGCUAUAAGCAAUUUUCUGAGGAU